UACGUAGGGGGCAAGCGUUUGUCCGGAUUUAUUGGGCGUAAAGAGCGUGUAGGCGGCCAGGUAGGUCAGCUGUGAAAACUCGAGGCUUAACCUCGAGACGCCGGCUGAAACCCUCUGGCUAGAGUCCGGAAGAGGAGAGCGGAAUUCCUGGUGUAGCGGUGAAAUGCGCAGAUAUCAGGAAGAACACCCGUGGCGAAGGCGGCUCGCUGGGACGGUACUGACGCUGAGACGCGAAAGCGUGGGGAGCAAACAGG
rnacentral:rRNA from 1 species